GAUGAACGCUGGCGGCGUGCCUAAUACAUGCAAGUCGAGCGAACGGACGAGAAGCUUGCUUCUCUGCUGUUAGCGGCGGACGGGUGAGUAACACGUGGAUAACCUACCUAUAAGACUGGGAUAACUUCGGGAAACCGGAGCUAAUACCGGAUAAUAUUUUGAACCGCAUGGUUCAAAAGUGAAAGACGGUCUUGCUGUCACUUAUAGAUGGAUCCGCGCUGCAUUAGCUAGUUGGUAAGGUAACGGCUUACCAAGGCAACGAUGCAUAGCCGACCUGAGAGGGUGGUCGGCCACACUGGAACUGAGACACGGUCCAGACUCCUACGGGAGGCAGCAGUAGGGAAUCUUCCGCAAUGGGCGAAAGCCUGACGGAGCAACGCCGCGUGAGUGAUGAAGGUCUUCGGAUCGUAAAACUCUGUUAUUAGGGAAGAACAUAUGUGUAAGUAACUGUGCACAUCUUGACGGUACCUAAUCAGAAAGCCACGGCUAACUACGUG
rnacentral:rRNA from 1 species